UACGUAGGUGGCAAGCGUUGUCCGGAUUUACUGGGCGUAAAGGGCGUGCAGGCGGUUUGUUAAGUCUAGGGUGAAAGCUCCCGGCUCAACUGGGAGCGGUCCUUGGAUACUGGCGAACUUGAGGGAUGCAGAGGAAAGUGGAAUUCCCGGUGUAGUGGUGAUAUGCGUAGAUAUCGGGAGGAACACCAGUGGCGAAGGCGGCUUUCUGGGCAUUUCCUGACGCUGAGACGCGAAAGCGUGGGGAGCGAACCGG
rnacentral:rRNA from 1 species